rnacentral:rRNA from 1 species
CCUACGGGUGGCAGCAGUGAGGAAUAUUGGUCAAUGGACGAGAGUCUGAACCAGCCAAGUAGCGUGAAGGAUGACUGCCCUAUGGGUUGUAAACUUCUUUUAUAUGGGAAUAAAAUGUUCCACGUGUGGGAUUUUGUAUGUACCCUAUGAAUAAGGAUCGGCUAACUCCGUGCCAGCAGCCGCGGUAAUGCGGAGGAUCCGAGCGUUAUCCGGAUUUAUUGGGUUUAAAGGGAGCGUAGGUGGAUGGUUAAGUCAGUUGUGAAAGUUUGCGGCUCAACCGUAAAAUUGCAGUUGAAACUGGCAGUCUGGAGUACAGUAGAGGUGGGCGGAAUGCGUGGUGUAGCGGUGAAAUGCGUAGAUAUCACGAAGAACUCCGAUUGCGAAGGCAGUGCACUGGACUGCAACUGACACUGAGGCUCGAAAGUGUGGGUAUCAAACAGGAUUAGAUACCCCUGUAGUC